rnacentral:rRNA from 1 species
UACGAAGGGGCUAGCGUUGUUCGGAAUCACUGGGCGUAAAGCGCACGCAGGCGGAUCGUUAAGUCAGGGGUGAAUCCCGAGGCUCAACCUCGGAACCGCCUUUGAUACUGGCGAUCUUUGAGUCCGGGAGAGGUGAGUGGAACUCCGAGUGUAGAGGUGAAAUUCGUAGAUAUUCGGAAGAACACCAGUGGCGAAGGCGGCUCACUGGCCCGGUACUGACGCUCAGGUGCGAAAGC